rnacentral:rRNA from 1 species
GAUGAACGCUGGCGGCGUGCCUAAUACAUGCAAGUCGAGCGAACAGACGAUGAGCUGGGUACUUGUACGUAAGCGGCGAACAGGUGAGUAACAAGUAGGUGACCUACCUAGGAUACUGGGAUAACUUCGGGAAAACGGAGGUAAGACCGGAGAAUAUUGCAAACCGCAUGGUUCGAUGGGGAAAGGUGGCGUGGCUAUCACUUAGCGAUUGACCUGCGCCGUAUUAGCUAGUUGGUAAGGUAACGGGUUACCAAGGCAACGAUACGUAGCCGACCGGAGAGAGUGAUCGGCCACACUGGAGCUGGGACACGGUCCAGACUCCUACGGGAGGCAGCAGUAGGGAAUCUGCCGCAAUGGGCGAAAGCCUGACGGAGCAACGCCGCGUGAGUGAUGAAGGUCUUCGGAUCGUAAAACUCUGUUAUUAGGGAAGAACAAACGUGUAAGUAACUGUGCACGUAUUGACGGUACCUAAUCAGAAAGCCACGGCUAACUACGUG